UAGUGAUCCUUCUUUGCAAAG
rnacentral:miRNA from 1 species